UGCAUGUGUUUACAAAUAAAAUGACAUG
rnacentral:sRNA from 1 species